ensembl:lncRNA
AGACCUCAUUUAAGUGUUGGCAGUGGAGGUGAGGAUGUCUCAUCUGGAGCUCCCUGUAUACCUGAAGACUUUAUGGGCCUUCUGAAAACUUCCCCUUUGAUCACAACCAACAAAACUCCUAUACUGAAUCACCAUCCCAGUCACAGGAAGUUGGAUGUACCUCACACUGGAGAACAGCUGAGAUACAGUGAAAUGGGACACGUUCUGUGCCAGCUGAAUAUGUUGCCUUAUCAGCACUCAUAACCCCUGCCUGCUUGAGGGUGAAGGACUGAACCCAAACUGGUGAUUCAUCUCAGUACAGCUGAGCCACCAGCUCUGAUCCCACAUUGUAUUAGUGUUUUCUCUUUGGCCUCUGUUGUCAAAGCUUUGCCACCCACUCACAAGAACGGGCUGCUGGUGUCUGGCUCGAACAUGUGCAGCAGCGUGCAGCCUGUGGAACAAAUGCAGCCAGCUCAGCACUGCCAAGCAGCCCGUGCUGCCUGACAACAGGAGGAUGGCUUCAGCAACUGGCAAGUCAGAGCCUGCAAACCUCUGCUGAGAUACAGGCACACUGAGAUGAAAUACAUCAAGCUGAGGCUUGUUGUUGGAGACACGGUCGAAAGGGGUGCUCUGACCUGCUGCCUACUCCAUUUCAAAGAGGACACAGUCAUCUUUAAAUAAGUCUGGGUCUGGGGCUUCAUGGCUGGAAACACAGCCUAUCAGUAAUUGCCAUUUCUGCUGAAAAACAAGUCAGAAAUCACAAGAAAGUGUUGUUACUAGAAAAAAGCAACUGCAUAAGUACCAUUUUCUUCUUUUAUAGAGAAUCUGAUGCACAAGUUUUACGCACACAUCAGGUUUGUGAACCAAAGCUUGAUGGGGAGCAGAGGGCUGGCUGAACUGAUCCUAAAGAUGUCACAACUCCAGAGAGGCGUCCUACAGUGCACUGUAAAUGAACUCCCACUCAGCCAUUGUAGAGAAGGCAAUGAAACGCUCAUUUACAACACUGCAUAACAUCUGCAGGUAAAACCUGUCCCUGUGAGGACUCUCUGAACCAAAAUCAGAUGAGUUACAGAAGUUCUUAUGAAAUAGCAAGCAUUACCUGUUGAAGCCACUCAGUGCAGGUAAGGCCUAAGGCAAUAAUAGUAACAGAAAAGAAGGGACAAACCAGUACAUAAGAAGUUGGUCAUCAUCAGCAGUCAGUGGCCAUUUCACUGUAAAUAGAUUGAGGAGAAGUUGGUCAUCAGUAUCUCUAAUUGAAACAAAUCAUGACUAUUGUCAUUGGAGUAAAGUUAUAGAUCUACUACUAAUUUACUACUUAAAUAAAAGCAAUGCAUUCCUUUGUUGAAACCUGGACUGGAUGUGUCCCAUCAAGUUUAGCAAACGACUACAUCAUAACUCUAAACGGGAGAGCCAUUUCUUUACAGUAGACAAAAUAAUAAUUAAACACACACACAAAACAGCUACUGUGUGCUGAGGACUGAUUUCUCUCAAUUAUGCAGUGAGAAACAAUGAGCGUUCAGCAGCUUCCAGAAUCCAGCCUAAAACACAGCAAGUACAGAAUCUAUAUCAGAAACAAAAGCUCAAACAGGGCAAAAGUGUUAAAACAAAGGGAGUUGUGUUGUAAUCAUCAGCUUUACCCCAAAGAGCUUCUUUUCUCUUUAGGUCUAUUCUAGUUCCUCACAUAGAAAUUUCACUGACCCCACUAAAAAUUAAUUUCAGCCUUGAGUCAAAUUUGUUCGCUUUCUCAAACUGAUGUUAUGCAGUGAUAUUCUGUCCUUAAACCUAUAAAUUAAGCACAUGCCAAAUAAUUUCUUCAUAUGGAUUGUGUCCCCAAAUCAACCCCAAAUGACUUACCAAAUGCACUGUUACUGCACUUGAAAGUUUUUCACUUCUGCCUGUAGACUCUUUGAUAGUAAGAGAAUUGUCCAUUCCAAAAAUACUUAUUUAACUAGAAG